CACCCUGGCACAGAGAGACAGGAAACACAGGGAUAAUACACUGGCACAGAGAGACAGGAAACACAGGGAUAAAUACACUGGGGAAAACAAGCGACACCUGGAGGGGGUGGAGACGAUAACGAGGACAGGUUAAACAGAUCCGGGUGUGACAAGCCUCAGGUGGAUCAGGACAAGAUUCAGCCCCCUGAACAGCUUUCACAAGCGCUGAAGAGGCUGCUGUGCGGGGGAGGCGCUCCCUUCUUUGAAUGUGUGGGGUUACAAGUGCCUUUCCCAGUUGCUCCAGGAAUACCCUCCUCUUGUUCCGCUAAUCAGGCAUCCAGUCCAGGAUGAUGGCUUGCUUCCUGUACUCACGAUCACUGAUCUCAGCCGUUUUGUGCAGUGUGCUCAGGAGGACCACAUUCUUGUUCUUCUUUGGGAGGUAAGAAACUACAGUGGUGGUGUGGGUGAAGGCAAACUUUGAUGAGAAGGUCUCUCUCCCCCUUGUUGCGAGGAGUGCAGGGGGGAGCUCAGGCUUCUUUUU